UCGAGCGGUAAGGCCUUUCGGGGUACACGAGCGGCGAACGGGUGAGUAACACGUGGGUGAUCUGCCCUGCACUCUGGGAUAAGCCUGGGAAACUGGGUCUAAUACCGGAUAUGACCUGCUCUCGCAUGGGGGUGGGUGGAAAGAUUUAUCGGUGCAGGAUGGGCCCGCGGCCUAUCAGCUUGUUGGUGGGGUAAUGGCCUACCAAGGCGACGACGGGUAGCCGACCUGAGAGGGUGACCGGCCACACUGGGACUGAGACACGGCCCAGACUCCUACGGGAGGCAGCAGUGGGGAAUAUUGCACAAUGGGCGAAAGCCUGAUGCAGCGACGCCGCGUGAGGGAUGAAGGCCUUCGGGUUGUAAACCUCUUUCAGCAGGGACGAAGCGCAAGUGACGGUACCUGCAGAAGAAGCACCGGCUAACUACGUGCCAGCAGCCGCGGUAAUACGUAGGGUGCGAGCGUUGUCCGGAAUUACUGGGCGUAAAGAGUUCGUAGGCGGUUUGUCGCGUCGUUUGUGAAAACCCGGGGCUCAACUUCGGGCUUGCAGGCGAUACGGGCAGACUUGAGUGUUUCAGGGGAGACUGGAAUUCCUGGUGUAGCGGUGAAAUGCGCAGAUAUCAGGAGGAACACCGGUGGCGAAGGCGGGUCUCUGGGAAACAACUGACGCUGAGGAACGAAAGCGUGGGUAGCAAACAGGAUUAGAUACCCUGGUAGUCCACGCCGUAAACGGUGGGCGCUAGGUGUGGGUUCCUUCCACGGAAUCUGUGCCGUAGCUAACGCAUUAAGCGCCCCGCCUGGGGAGUACGGCCGCAAGGCUAAAACUCAAAGGAAUUGACGGGGGCCCGCACAAGCGGCGGAGCAUGUGGAUUAAUUUCGAUGCAACGCGAAGAACCUUACCUGGGUUUGACAUACACCGGAAAGCCGUAGAGAUACGGCCCCCCUUGGUGGUCGGUGUACAGGUGGUGCAUGGCUGUCGUCAGCUUCGUGUUCGUGAGAUGUUGGGUUAAGUCCCGCAACGAGCGCAACCCUUGUCUUAUGUUGCCAGCGCGUUAUGGCGGGGACUCGUAAGAGACUGCCGGGGUCAACUCGGAGGAAGGUGGGGACGACGUCAAGUCAUCAUGCCCCUUAUGUCCAGGGCUUCACACAUGCUACAAUGGCCAGUACAGAGGGCUGCGAGACCGUGAGGUGGAGCGAAUCCCUUAAAGCUGGUCUCAGUUCGGAUCGGGGUCUGCAACUCGACCCCGUGAAGUCGGAGUCGCUAGUAAUCGCAGAUCAGCAACGCUGCGGUGAAUACGUUCCCGGGCCUUGUACACACCGCCCGUCACGUCAUGAAAGUCGGUAACACCCGAAGCCGGUGGCCUAACC
rnacentral:rRNA from 1 species